rnacentral:rRNA from 1 species
UUGACCUCAAAUCAGGUAGGACUACCCGCUGAACUUAAGCAUAUCAAUAAGCGGAGGAAAAGAAACUAACAAGGAUUCCCCUAGUAACUGCGAGUGAAGCGGGAAAAGCUCAAAUUUAAAAUCUGGCGGUCUUGCGGCCGUCCGAGUUGUAAUCUGGAGAAGCGUUUAUCCGCGUCGGACCGUGUACAAGUCUUCUGGAAGGGAGCGUCGUAGAGGGUGAGAAUCCCGUCUUUGACACGGACAACCGGUGCUUUUGUGAUGCGCUCUCGAGAGUCGAGUUGUUUGGGAAUGCAGCUCAAAAUGGGUGGUAAAUUCCAUCUAAAGCUAAAUAUUGCGAGAGACCGAUAGCGAACAAGUACCGUGAGGAAAGAUGAAAGCACUUUGGAAAGAGAGUUACAU